AGUGUACGCUGGCGGUAGGCCUAACACAUGCAAGUCGAACGGCAGCACGGUAAGAGCUUGCUCUUACGGGUGGCGAGUGGCGGACGGGUGAGGAAUACAUCGGAAUCUACUUUUUCGUGGGGGAUAACGUAGGGAAACUUACGCUAAUACCGCAUACGACCUACGGGUGAAAGCAGGGGAUCUUCGGACCUUGCGCGAUUGAAUGAGCCGAUGUCGGAUUAGCUAGUUGGCGGGGUAAAGGCCCACCAAGGCGACGAUCCGUAGCUGGUCUGAGAGGAUGAUCAGCCACACUGGAACUGAGACACGGUCCAGACUCCUACGGGAGGCAGCAGUGGGGAAUAUUGGACAAUGGGCGCAAGCCUGAUCCAGCCAUACCGCGUGGGUGAAGAAGGCCUUCGGGUUGUAAAGCCCUUUUGUUGGGAAAGAAAAGCAGCAGGUUAAUACCCCGCUGUUCUGACGGUACCCAAAGAAUAAGCACCGGCUAACUUCGUG
rnacentral:rRNA from 1 species